ACUGUGGCCAGUAUUUAUGCAAAUUGAAAAAUUUCAUUGAUGAAGAAUGUGGCUCCUGGAUUGCAACUGUUGGCGCUGCUGAUAUGGUCUUGCAUCAAGUUGUUCACCUCAUUCAGCACAGCCGACCGGACAGGCCUCUGGAUGAGUUGUUGUCUACGGUUGUGAUUCUGGCUGCCUUACAGCAGAAUGUGCUUCAGCUCCUACAUCGAGGACAUUGAGGUUUCUAGGGUACCAGGUUAUUGUGUUUUGACCGGAAAUCUAUGCUGACAUUGUACAUCUUGAUGCUACACAAUAGACAGCGCUAUUUACCGCACUUAAUUAAAAACAGAUAUGCUUGUGGAUUCCCUAAGGACUGGGAACUGUUAAGAAUAAAGUGGAUCAUGUUUUUAAAAGCAGGAGAACCACAAGAUUUUCAGUGGAAGGGAAAUGACAAUGAAGCUAUUUUAGACAGCUGUUCCUCCUCCCAAAA